rnacentral:rRNA from 1 species
AGUGGCGAACGGGUGAGUAAUACAUCGGAACGUGCCCUGUUGUGGGGGAUAACUAGUCGAAAGAUUAGCUAAUACCGCAUACGACCUGAGGGUGAAAGCGGGGGACCGUAAGGCCUCGCGCAAUAGGAGCGGCCGAUGUCUGAUUAGCUAGUUGGUGGGGUAAAGGCCUACCAAGGCGACGAUCAGUAGCUGGUCUGAGAGGACGAUCAGCCACACUGGGACUGAGACACGGCCCAGACUCCUACGGGAGGCAGCAGUGGGGAAUUUUGGACAAUGGGGGCAACCCUGAUCCAGCAAUGCCGCGUGUGUGAAGAAGGCCUUCGGGUUGUAAAGCACUUUUGUCCGGAAAGAAAUCGCGCUGGCUAAUACCUGGCGUGGAUGACGGUACCGGAAGAAUAAGCACCGGCUAACUACGUGCCAGCAGCCGCGGUAAUACGUAGGGUGCGAGCGUUAAUCGGAAUUACUGGGCGUAAAGCGUGCGCAGGCGGUUUUGUAAGACAGGCGUGAAAUCCCCGGGCUCAACCUGGGAAUUGCGCUUGUGACUGCAAGGCUAGAGUGCGUCAGAGGGGGGUAGAAUUCCACGUGUAGCAGUGAAAUGCGUAGAGAUGUGGAGGAAUACCGAUGGCGAAGG